rnacentral:rRNA from 1 species
UACGGAGGGGGCUAGCGUUGUUCGGAAUUACUGGGCGUAAAGCGCACGUAGGCGGUUUUGUAAGUUAGAGGUGAAAGCCCAGGGCUUAACCCUGGAAUUGCCUUUAAGACUGCAUCGCUAGAAUCGUGGAGAGGUGAGUGGAAUUCCGAGUGUAGAGGUGAAAUUCGUAGAUAUUCGGAAGAACACCAGUGGCGAAGGCGACUCACUGGACACGUAUUGACGCUGAGGUGCGAAAGCGUGGGGAGCAAACGGG